rnacentral:rRNA from 1 species
GACGGAAGGUGCAAGCGUUGCUCGGAAUCACUGGGCGUAAAGAGCUCGUAGGCGGCUCGUUGCGUCAACCGUGAAAACCCGGGGCUUAACUUCGGGCUUGCGGUUGAUACUGCCGGGCUCGAGUCCGGAAGAGGCGAGUGGAAUUCCCGGUGUAGCGGUGAAAUGCGCAGAGUAUCGGGAAGGAACACCAAUGGCGAAGGCAGCUCGCUGGGACGUGACUGACGCUGAGACGCGAAAGCGUGGGGAGCAACAGG